GGUUUUAUUCUAAUCCCGCCCAUCCCCUAGGCUGCAGAGCAUCUUCAUGUGAAGAGACGGACAGAUGUCAAGAGAUUCAGGCUGCUCUAAGAAGGAAGUCCCUUUGCUGCCCCCUGCUGGCCAGGGUGGCUUCUCCAGUGUCCAGUCCAAGAGGAUCAGAUUCCCAGGCUGCUGCAUCAGCAGUCUUACAUGUCUGUGGAUGUAAGAUUGGAGUGCACCUUCUUCCAAGCAUUUCCUCGAUUCUCCCCAGAUCUUGUGGAGCCCUAGCCCCCUGCAGCUGGUGUGAACAGGACAAAUGGGAGUGGGACAACCGAUGCCAAAGGAGAUGGUGACAUCUUUUCUGCCAUAGUUGCUGUCGCGAGCUCGGUGUCUGUAAGCUAACGGCCAUCCGCGUCUGUGUCUUCAGCCAGCUCCUGGUAUGGCUGUUUUCUGCUGUUCCCCCGGGGUUAAGUCAUGCAAGGUUCUGCCAGUGAGGUAUUGCUGUCACAUGUACUGUACCGGCGUAGAGAGCACUGCUUUGUUUUCCACUGUUGUAGAG
ensembl:lncRNA